rnacentral:rRNA from 1 species
GCGUGAAUGAUGAAGGCCUUCGGGUUGUAAAGUUCUUUUGGAGGGGACGAUGAUGACGGUACCCUCAGAAUAAGCUCCGGCUAACUUCGUGCCAGCAGCCGCGGUAAUACGAAGGGAGCUAGCGUUGUUCGGAAUUACUGGGCGUAAAGGGCGCGUAGGCGGUUUGGUCAGUCAGAUGUGAAAGCCCCGGGCUUAACCCGGGAACUGCGUUUGAUACUGCCAAGCUUGAAUUCGGGAGAGGUGAGUGGAAUUCCCAGUGUAGAGGUGAAAUUCGU